UAGAGUUUGAUCAUGGCUCAGGAUGAACGCUGGCGGCGUGCUUAACACAUGCAAGUCGAACGGGGGCGUGAUGUGCGAGAGGGAUAGUUUACUAGACUUCAAACUUUUCACGCCCUAGUGGCGGACGGGUGAGUAACGCGUGGGUAACCUGCCAUAUACAGGGGGAUAACACUUAGAAAUAGGUGCUAAUACCGCAUAAGCGCACAGGGGCGCAUGCCCCGGUGUGAAAAACUCCGGUGGUAUAUGAUGGACCCGCGUCUGAUUAGCCAGUUGGCAGGGUAACGGCCUACCAAAGCGACGAUCAGUAGCCGGCCUGAGAGGGCGGACGGCCACAUUGGGACUGAGACACGGCCCAAACUCCUACGGGAGGCAGCAGUGGGGGAUAUUGCACAAUGGGGGAAACCCUGAUGCAGCGACGCCGCGUGAGUGAAGAAGUAUUUCGGUAUGUAAAGCUCUAUCAGCAGGGAAGAAAAUGACAGUACCUGACCAAGAAGCCCCGGCUAACUACGUGCCAGCAGCCGCGGUAAUACGUAGGGGGCAAGCGUUAUCCGGAUUUACUGGGUGUAAAGGGAGCGUAGACGGUUAUGUAAGUCUGGAGUGAAAGCCCGGGGCCCAACCCCGGGACUGCUUUGGAAACUGUGUAACUGGAGUACAGGAGGGGCAGGCGGAAUUCCUGGUGUAGCGGUGAAAUGCGUAGAUAUCAGGAGGAACACCGGCGGCGAAGGCGGCCUGCUGGACUGAAACUGACGUUGAGGCUCGAAAGCGUGGGGAGCAAACAGGAUUAGAUACC
rnacentral:rRNA from 1 species